rnacentral:rRNA from 1 species
AACGAACGCUGGCGGCAUGCCUAACACAUGCAAGUCGAACGAGACCUUCGGGUCUAUUUGCGCACGUGUGCGUAACGCGUGGGAACCUUCCCUUAGGUUCGGAAUAACUCCCCGAAAGGGGUGCUAAUACCGGAUAAUGUCUUCGGACCAAAGAUUUAUCGCCUUUGGAUGGGCCCGCGUUGGAUUAGCUAGUUGGUAGGGUAAAAGCCUACCAAGGCGACGAUCCAUAGCUGGUCUGAGAGGAUGAUCAGCCACACUGGGACUGAGACACGGCCCAGACUCCUACGGGAGGGAGCAGUGGGGAAUAUUGGAAAAUGGGCGAAAGCCUGAUCCAGCAAUGCCGCGUGAGUGAUGAAGGCAUUAGGGUUGUAAAGCUCUUUUACCCGGGAUGAUAAUGACAGUACCGGGAGAAUAAGCUCCGGCUAACUACGUG